CUCCUAAAAUGACUCCAUAGACAGUGAACUACUUUCUCCAUCAGCUGUAAAAACAGACAUCAGCUGCUUCAGGCUUGGUUCAGGGGUUCUCCAUGGAAACCGGGAUCAAUGAGUUGGCCUCAGAUGGAGUCCAGAUGUUUGGUGAGAACCUGACCAGGACUACCACAGUGGAUGCAUGGUCCUGACAGUGAAGCAUGGAGGUCCAAAAUUUGUCCAAAAAGACUUUAAUUAUUCCCAGAAGGACUGGGUUGUCCCACCAGAACCUUUGAGGUGUUCUCCAGAGAAAGGUAGAGCAACACAACCCCUCCAACAGAGAGCAGCUGAAGAAAACAGAGAAGAUGUGAGCAGAAAUGAGUGGACUCUGGUUUCCUCCAUGAGGAGGACUGAAGGAGGACAUAGGAGUCCACCCUCACUGUGUGUUUUUGUGUGUAACUGUGCGUUCCUGUGUUUGUGGUCUGCAGAGAUCGUCCAUGAAGAUGUGAAGAUGAGUUCAGAUGGAGAAAGUGAUCCAGCUUCUUCUUCAGAUGAUGUUCAGAGUCCAGUUAGAGUCCGAAUGAGGAACAAGAAGAUCUCCACAGAGGACAUCAACAAACGUCUGUCCUUACCUGCCGACAUCCGUCUCCCAGAUGACUACCUGGAGAAGUUUAAUGUGAUUGGUCCGGCUCUGUUUGAGCAGCCAAUCAGCAGACGGCUGCGUCGGGUGUCUCUGUCAGAGAUUGGUUUUGGGAAACUGGAGACGUACAUCAAACUGGACAAACUGGGAGAGGGAACCUAUGCUACGGUGUAUAAAGGUCGCAGUAAGCUGACGGAAAACCUCGUUGCUCUGAAGGAGAUCCGACUGGAACAUGAAGAAGGAGCUCCAUGUACUGCGAUCAGAGAAGUGUCUCUGCUGAAGGAUCUGAAACACGCCAACAUCGUCACGCUUCAUGACAUCAUCCACACGCAGAAAUCCCUCACACUGGUGUUCGAGUACCUGGACAAAGAUCUAAAACAGUACCUGGAUGACUGUGGAAACACCAUCCACAUGCACAACGUCAAGCUCUUCCUGUUCCAGCUGCUCAGAGGUUUGUCCUACUGUCACCGCAGGAAGGUUCUCCAUCGAGACCUGAAGCCUCAGAACCUGCUGAUCAACGACAGAGGAGAACUCAAACUGGCUGACUUUGGUCUGGCUCGAGCUAAGUCCAUCCCCACUAAGACGUACUCUAAUGAGGUGGUGACUCUGUGGUAUCGACCUCCAGACAUCCUGCUGGGAAGCACGGACUACUCCACACACAUCGACAUGUGGGGCGUGGGCUGUAUCUUCUAUGAGAUGGCGACAGGUCGUCCUCUGUUUCCUGGUUCUACAGUUGAGGAGGAACUUCACUUCAUCUUCAAACUGCUUGGAACUCCCACUGAGAGCAGCUGGCCUGGAAUCAGUUCGAAUGAAGAGUUUGUGUCCUUUAAUUACCCACAAUACCGAGCAGAGAGGCUGAGCAACCACACCCCCAGGCUCAGCAGUGACGGAGUGGAGCUGCUGUCGAAGUUCCUGCAGUUUGAAGGGAAAAAGAGGGUCUCAGCUGACCACGCCAUGAGUCACCGUUACUUCAGUCACCUUGGAAACAGAGUGAUGUCACUUCCUGACACAACGUCCAUCUUCAGCCUGCCGGAGGUUCACCUGGAGAGAGAAACAACGAGGCCACCAGCAGCACCCGAUCCAGGUAACACACACCCGAUCCAGGUAACACACACCCGAUCCGGUAACACACACCCGAUCCAGGUAACACACACCCGAUCCGGUAACACACACCCGAUCCAGGUAACACACACCCGAUCCCGGUAACACACACCCGAUCCAGGUAACACACACCCGAUCCAGGUAACACACCCCCGAUCCAGGUAACACACACCCGAUCCAGGUAACACACACCCGAUCCCGGUAACACACACCCGAUCCCGGUAACACACACCCGAUUCCGGUAACACACACCCGAUCCAGGUAACACACAUCUGAUCCAGGUAACACACACCCGAUCCGGUAACACACAUCUGAUCCCGGUAACACACACCCGAUCCAGGUAACACACACCCGAUCCCGGUAACACACACCCGAUUCCGGUAACACACACCCGAUCCGGUAACACACACCCGAUCCAGGUAACACACACCCGAUCCAGGUAACACACACCCGAUCCCGGUAACACACACCCGAUUCCGGUAACACACACCCGAUCCGGUAACACACACCCGAUCCAGGUAACACACACCCGAUCCCGGUAACACACACCCGAUCCAGGUAACACACACCCGAUCCAGGUAACACACACCCGAUCCGGUAACACACACCCGAUCCAGGUAACACACAUCCGAUCCAGGUAACACACACUUGAUUCCGGUAACACACACCCGAUCCAGGUAACACACACCCGAUCCGGUAACACACACCCGAUCCCGGUAACACACACCCGAUUCCGGUAACACACACCCGAUCCGGUAACACACACCCGAUCCAGGUAACACACACCCGAUCCGGUAACACACACCCGAUCCAGGUAACACACACCCGAUCCAGGUAACACACACCCGAUCCAGGUAACACACACCCGAUCCCGGUAACACACACCCGAUCCCGGUAACACACACCCGAUCCAGGUAACACACAUCCGAUCCAGGUAACACACACUCGAUUCCGGUAACACACACCCGAUCCAUGUAACACACACCCGAUCCAGGUAACACACACCCGAUCCAGGUAACACACACUUGAUUCCGGUAACACACACCCGAUCCAGGUAACACACACCCGAUCCGGUAACACACACCCGAUCCCGGUAACACACACCCGAUUCCGGUAACACACACCCGAUCCGGUAACACACACCCGAUCCGGUAACACACACCCGAUCCAGGUAACACACACCCGAUCCGGUAACACACACCCGAUCCGGUAACACACACCCGAUCCGGUAACACACACCCGAUCCGGUAACACACACCCGAUCCAGGUAACACACACCCGAUCCAGUAACACACAUCUGAUCCAGUAACACACAGCUGAUCCAGUAACACACACCUGAUCCAGGGUUAGGGUUAGGGUUAGCUGGAUACGGUGUUGCCCGAUGCAGGGUCGCUGUAAGGGUUGUCUGGGUUGCCGCUGGACACGGACGGGGAUUUUGUGAAUCAACGUUAGCUUUAGCCUUCAUGCAUUCCUCGUAUUUGUGUUUGUGAUGUUUUUUCAGAUGGUUAAACAGAUUAGUUGUUACUGUGCGGGGCAGACACAACUCUGCUGCACUCUUUACAUAUGACCUGUUCUUGUUUAACGUCACUUGCCCUGAAUCCGAAACAAGUCCAGACGAUGGAUGCUGAUCCGUUUGGAGGCACCAGCUCCUCACCAUGAUGCUCCUCGUCUCCAAUUGCUGCUGUACUUUCUUCUCUAGACACGACUCGCUCUCAUCAGCCCAGUCCACUGACUGAUUUGAGGCUGCCGCUGCAGGGUGCGCUCGCUUAUUAUUUAGGCAGCUUAAUGAAGCCUUAACCAUGUGUUCGCCUCCUGGUGGUUGGCUGACUACUGGUUGACAAGGCGCUUGAUAAGAUAUGCACCAGAGCCCACAUUUUAAAUGUAAAUAUCACCAACGAUCAGGUUACUUUAAUUGUGGCAGCCAAAAUCGUGAUCGCGAUCAAAAUUUGAUUAAUUGUGCAGCCCUACUGUCAGGUUAUUUUUGGGAAACAACAAUAACUAAUCUGGCCCAGAGCAGGCUAACCUUAAAGCUAUCACGCUAACUGUAAAGCUAUCAGGCUAACUGUAAAGCUGUCAGGCUAACUGUAAAGCUAUCAGGCUAACUGUAAAGCUGUCAGGCUAACUGUAAAGCUAUCAGGCUAACUGUAAAGCUAUCAGGCUAACUUUAAAGCUAUCAGUCUAGCUGUAAAGCAAAGCUAUCAGGCUAACUAUCAGAUUAACUAACAGGCUAAAUCAGACUAAACCUGAGUUGUUUACCCCGACUGUGUGUAAACAUGUAAUGUUAACGUUUCUUUUUCCUGUCAGCAAACAGUCCAACCAGGAGGCGGAGCCUGCUGUUCUGACAUCAGGGGGUGGAGCCUGUUGUUCUGACAUCAUCAGGGAGGCGGGGUCUGCAAAGGGAAACUGAACAAAUGAAGAAUAAGACAGUGAACUGUGAACUUGUUUAUCAGGAGCAGGAGAGUGGUGCGGUUUACACGCAGAUGCAAUAAUGAGUGACAGCAGCUGCCUGACCAAUCAGAGCGUCUGGUUUCAGUGAUGGACAGGUGAAGGAGGGAACGCUGCUCUGUCUUCCACUUUAGAGUCUCACAGGAUCCUGGGAUGUCAUGACAUCACAGGCGUGUCUAUGGCUGCAGGUGGGACUCACCUUUACCUGUCUACAGCAUGGACGGCUGCAGGAGGAGCUGCUCUAGUGUUUCUGUAAAAUCAGCUGAUCUGUGGACGUGUUGCUUCCUCUGCAUGUGAGACUUUAUACUACAAUACUUUAUAUAUAUAUAUAUAUAUGUAUACUUCUAGUACUGCUGUGAGUAUAUGCAGUACUACUAUCAACCUGCAGUAUUUAUCAUCAGAGACUUUAUUUUGCUGGGAGCUGUUGAUUAUUUAUUGGUUUUAUGUUUACUGGAGAUGUUUUAGAUGAUGUGAUGUCAUCAGAGCUUCCGUGACAUCACAGCCUCCGCCUCACUGGACGAUCCUGGACUGUGAUUGAAUGUUUCUGCACAGACUCAGUUAAUGACCACUAAGCUAAUGCAUUGAUUAUUAGUUUAUUGACAAAUCCUUCCAGAUGUUUGACUUGAUGUUUUGAAGUCUGUGUGGAACCAACGAAGAGCUGAGGGUCAUCUGCCAGGUGAGUCCAGGUGUCAGUGGGCGGAGCUUGAUAUUUCAGGUAGUUUUUGGUGUUCGUACGUUGAGGCGGUUUGCUGUCGUUGCUGAUGUGAAUCUUUAUUUCUAGCUGUGAAAAAUCUUAGCAAUAGAGAGACAAUAAUAAUAAUAAUAAAUGAUCAGAUUGAUUGAUCUGCUGUACAAACGUAGAGAAACGUUAUUCAACAGACAUCCAUGUUCCACCGAGAACGUAGAACUCGCAGAGACCAGGCAAUCACAGGGCUUCACCUACACCAGUUGUUGGUAGGUCUACUCGAGAACUUUCUCCAGGGGACGUUCUCCUUUCCUGCUUCCAGUCUUUAAGUUAGUUUCAUUUUUUAGUCACUUUUUCAUGAACUUUUCCAUCAUUUUUGAGCCUCAGAACUUACUUAGAUGUUCAUCAGAACGUCACUGGAGCGUCUCCAGAGCAGCAGAUGGACCCUCCAGCUGUGUUCUGCUGCUCGGUGGCUGGUUCUGGUGGAUCGGUGGAACAUGGAGGCUGUUGGUGUUCUUCUGUAAACUUCCUGUGAACCUGUGUGUGAAUGAUGUCAUAAAGUGGGCGGAGUCAAAGGGAGCGUAAAUGAAUGUACUGCAGUUUACAGUCACCACGUGUUAUUGAUUAUCUGCUGCUCAGAGAACAGACGUCUGAUCGAUCAGGAAUGGGCUCAGACCUGAACUGGUUUUCUGGAUUCACCGGUUAUUGAUCAGCAGUGAUUGGAAUGUGAUCAGGUUAUUGAUGGUUUCCACAGAGUCGGUUUCUCUGCUUCUCUCCGUCGUACCAAAGUUAUCUGCAAUAACUGCGUUGCAUGAUGGGAAUCUUCCAGAUAACUUCAGUAAUCUUCCAUGUGAACCAUCACCAUGUCAGUAUUAAAGCUUUUAUUUAUUACA